UAGGGUAUAGCAUAAUUAUUAAUGCAUUUUAUUUACACUAAAAAUAAAGUUUUUUAGACUUACUCUAA
rnacentral:tRNA from 1 species